AGAGGAUAGUGUCUGGAGUCCAGCCAACGGGAGCUAUCCACCUUGGGAAUUAUCUUGGUACCAUAAAGAAUUGGAUUGCGCUUGAGAACUCAUAUGACACACUCUUUUUCAUUGUGGACCUCCAUGCGAUUACACUACCAUAUACACAACAAUUAUCAAAGGCAACAAGUAACACAGCAGCUAUUUAUUUGGCA